AUUUGAUUUCCUAAAACAAAAAUGUCUUCACAAGUUUAGUGUCAACAACCUUUACUAAAACCGCAUCUCAAAAUUCUACAAUUUCCUCUUAAUUUAUCUACAUUGUAAUAGUAAGUUUUUCAACAGUGAAUACUUUACAAUAGUGAACGCUUAUCUGUAACAACAUACAGCAUACUACCGUUAGAGGAUUGUGAUUGACAUUUCAAAGUGUGGGUCGGUCUUUUAUAAAUGGCAACAAGUAAUUUGUUUUUAAAGAAAUCAGUUUUACUUAAAUACUAAAGAGGUUCACACAAAAUUUUAAGAGAUAUGACUCUAAAACUCGCUUUUGUUUUGUUUUUCUUUCACAUCAACGGUAUGCUCAAAUCCUUUCCCGUUUUUACCGGCAAAAGUAACGACUGCUUGACUGUGCCGUAUAAUGUAACAGUUACCACAAAGGGGUGUGAUGAUUAUAUAUUACUGAGCAGCAUGUGCACAGGCUUUUGCACUUCGUUGUACAAGUAUGAUCCGAUUUCGGAAAAGAAAGAAUCAAUAUGUGUAGUAUGCAAACCAGUCACAUCG
rnacentral:lncRNA from 1 species